ensembl:snRNA U2 U2 spliceosomal RNA
AUCCCUUCUGGGCCUUUUGGCCAAGAUCUAGUGUAAUUUCUGUUCUCAUUUUAAUAGCUGAUACAUCCUCUAUCCGAGGGCAGUAUAUUUAAAGGAUUUUUGGAGCUGGGAGAUAGAAUAGGAGCUUGCUCCAUCCCUUCCAUGCGUCCACCUGGUAUUGCAGCACCUCUAGGAAUGAUGCAACACCC